GAUGAACGCUGGCGGCGUGCCUAAUACAUGCAAGUCGAGCGAACGGACGAGAAGCUUGCUUCUCUGAUGUUAGCGGCGGACGGGUGAGUAACACGUGGAUAACCUACCUAUAAGACUGGGAUAACUUCGGGAAACCGGAGCUAAUACCGGAUAAUAUUUUGAACCGCAUGGUUCAAAAGUGAAAGACGGUCUUGCUGUCACUUAUAGAUGGAUCCGCGCUGCAUUAGCUAGUUGGUAAGGUAACGGCUUACCAAGGCAACGAUGCAUAGCCGACCUGAGAGGGUGAGGAGUCAAAAAGGAGAAGCGGUACGGUCGAGACUAAUACUGGAGGCAGAAGUGGGGGAUAGUGCGCAAGGGGUGAAAGAUUGACGAAGUAAGUAGGAGUGAAGGAUGAAGGGUUUCGGAUCGUAAGAAUAUGUUACGGGGGAAGAACAAAAGUGGAAGUAACUGUGCAGAUCUUGAAGGUACCUAAUAAGAGAGCAACGGCUAACUGAGUG
rnacentral:rRNA from 1 species